GACGAACGCUGGCGGCGUGCUUAACACAUGCAAGUCGAACGAUGACGACCGAGCUUGCUCGGUCUGAUUAGUGGCGAACGGGUGAGUAACACGUGAGCAACCUGCCCUUCACUCUGGGAUAACCUCGGGAAAUCGGGGCUAAUACCGGAUAUGAGCUCCUGUCGCAUGGCGGGUGUUGGAAAGUUUUUCGGUGAAGGUUGGGCUCGCGGCCUAUCAGUUUGUUGGUGAGGUAGUGGCUCACCAAGGCGAUGACGGGUAGCCGGCCUGAGAGGGCGACCGGCCACACUGGGACUGAGACACGGCCCAGACUCCUACGGGAGGCAGCAGUGGGGAAUAUUGCACAAUGGGCGAAAGCCUGAUGCAGCGACGCCGCGUGAGGGAUGACGGCCUUCGGGUUGUAAACCUCUUUCAGCAGGGAAGAAGCGAAAGUGACGGUACCUGCAGAAGAAGCGCCGGCUAACUACGUG
rnacentral:rRNA from 1 species